GGGUUUGAUUCUGGCUCAGAUUGAACGCUGGCGGGAUGCUUACAUGCAAGUCGAACGGCAGCAGCACGGACUUGGUCUGGUGGCGAGUGGCGAAAUUUGCGAGUAAUGUAUCGGAACGUGCCUAGUAGCGUAUAACUACGCGAAAGCGUAGCUAAUACCGGUAUACGCCCUUCGGGGGAAAGCGGGGGACUUCUCGGACCUCGCACUAGAGCGGCCGAUAUCGGAUUAGCUAGUUGGUGGGGUAACGGCUCACCAAGGCGACGAUCCGUAGCUGGUUUGAGAGGACGACCAGCCACACUGGGACUGAGACACGGCCCAGACUCCUACGGGAGGCAGCAGUGGGGAAUUUUGGACAAUGGGGAAACUCCUGAUCCAGCCAUCUCCGCGUGUGCGAUGAAGGCCUUCGGGUUGUAAAGCACUUUUUGGCAGGAAAGAAACGGCACGGGAUAAUACCCCGUGCAACUGACGGUACCUGCAGAAUAAGCACCGGCUAACUACGUGCCAGCAGCCGCGGUAAUACGUAGGGUGCAAGCGUUAAUCGGAAUUACUGGGCGUAAAGCGUGCGCAAGUGGUUCGGAAAGAAAGAUGUGAAAUCCCAGAGCUUAACUUUGGAACUGCAUUUUAACUGCAUCGAGCUAGAGUGUGUCAGAGGGAGGGAAUUCGCGUGUAGCAGUGAAUGCGUAGAUAUGCGGAGGAACACCGAUGGCGAAGGCAGCCUCCUGGAUAACACUGACGCUCAUGCACGAAAGCGUGGGGAGCAAACAGGAUUAGAUACCCUGUAGUCCACGCCCUAAACGAUGUCAACUGCUGUUGGGGCCGGGCUCCUUGGUAGCGCAGCUAACGCGUGAAGUUGACCGCCUGGGGAGUACGGUCGCAAGAUUAAAACUCAAAGGAAUUGACGGGGACCCGCACAAGCGGUGGAUGAUGUGGAUUAAUUCGAUGCAACGCGAAAACCUUACCUACCCUUGACAUGUCUGGAAUCCUUGAAGAGAUUUGGGAGUGCUCGCAAGAGAACUGUGGAAACACAGGUGCUGUGUACGGCUGCCGUCAGCUCGUGUCGAGAUGUUGGGUUAAGUCCUGCAACGAGCGCAACCCUUGUCAUUAGUUGCUACGAAAGGGCACUCUAAUGAGACUGCCGGUGACAAACCGGGAGGAAGGUGGGGAUGACGUCAAGUCCUCGCGGCCCUUAUGGGUAGGGCUUCACACGUCAUACAAUGGUCGGGACAGAGGGUCACCAACCCGCGAGGGGGAGCCAAUCCCAGAAAACCCGAUCGUAGUCCGGAUCGCAGUCUGCAACUCGACUGCGUGAAGUCGGAAUCGCUAGUAAUCGCGGAUCAGCAUGUCGCGGUGAAUACGUUCCCGGUCUUGUACACACCGCCUGUCACACCAUGGGAGUGGGUUUUACCAGAAGUAGUUAGCCUAAAUCGUAAGGAGGGCGAUUACUACGGUAGGAUUCAUGACUGGGGUGAAGUCGUAACAAGGUAA
rnacentral:rRNA from 1 species